UUGAAAAAUCAUUUCCAAAAUUCAGAGGGAGAAAGAGAGACACAACUCUCCUCAAAUCAAUCGUCUCUCUUUCUCUUUCUCCAUCUCUGUUAAUGUGAUUCUUCGUGUUUCUCCCAUUUUUUUCCUUCUUUUCUUUUUUUCCUUUUACAUUUGUAUUUUUCAUUUUCUUUUUCUUUUUUCCUUUGAUUUUUAGUGUGUGUAUUUGUGUGUGAAUCCAUUCGUGACAGACAUAUAUAUUGAGAGCUAUGAAUGAGAAGGCGUUUGUUACCAAAGAGCUCAAUGCCAAACAUGCAAAGAUACUGUUGGGUCUCCUUAAGCUGCCCGAAAACAAGGAAUGUGCAGAUUGCCGGAGCAAGGCUCCACGAUGGGCAAGCAUCAACCUUGGAAUAUUUAUAUGCAUGCGAUGUUCUGGAAUACACCGCAGUCUUGGAGUACACAUCUCGAAGGUAAGGUCUACAACGUUGGACACAUGGCUUCCCGAGCAGGUUGCAUUCAUGCAGGUGAUGGGAAACCAGAAGUCGAACAGCUAUUGGGAAGCAGACUUACCAGCACAGUUCUACAGAAGUCCAAUUGAAACCUUCAUUUAUGCCAAGUACGUGGAUAGAAGAUGGGCUCCAACAACCCCACAGCCAAUCCCAGAGAUCUGUGCAGAAAGCACCUCCACUAGAAAGGAAAUUCCGAAGAAAGCAAGAAGAUACUCUUUGGAUGAAGAAUUUUUCGUCAAGGAAAUGCCCAAAAUUGCUCCUCCAAAAUCACAUUGUCGUGCGGAGUCUUUCAGUUUUAUGGACGCCAUUGAUUCAGCUCCGCCUCUUAUUAGUUUCGAGGGCUGUUCAUCUAGUAAGAAUGUUGAUACUGGUACGGAUCUGUUCAGCCUUCUCUACGUGUCAGAAGAAACACAAGAUCGUACAGUUGUGCCUCCAUCGCGAUGGGCUUCUUUUGAGUGAGCUGAUGCAUCAAUUGGAAUUCUGUUAGAUUCCGAUGAACCACUGCCAUAUACAUUGCAGUGAAUGAGGAAAAAUAUUCAAAGCACACACAAAUAUAUAAGGUCAUGACUUGGAAAUAUAGUGUUGUGUGAUAUCUAAGUUUAUGGACCAUUAUGCUCUACUUGAAGAUAAGUUUGAUGUUUUUAGGUAUAUUAAAUGCCCAUUUAUUUCAUUUUCCGACCUGUUAGAUUAGAUAUUUACGGAGAAUACAUGUAAAGAAAGACUUACAAUUGACUCAGACAUCCAAAAGUCAUUGAUUUAUCAUUUUGGACAUUUCUUCCCAACUUCAGAUUAAAAAUUAAAUAAAAACAAGUAGGAGAGUGUUUGUUGAUCAAGACUUAAGCGAAACAUAUUCAAGAAAUAGGUGACUUAAACAUAUACAUCACAUUGUUCAAAGUCAGUAGUGAAAGUAUUUGUUGAAUAAUCGUUUUCAGUUGAAUUGGUAA